rnacentral:rRNA from 1 species
GAUAUGAUUUCGGUUGUAUCUUAGUGGCGAACGGGUGAGUAACGCGUGAGCAACCUGACUCUUAGAGGGGGAUAACACUCGGAAACGGGUGCUAAUACCGCAUAAGACCACGACAUGGCAUCAUGACGAGGUCAAAGGAGCAAUCCGCUGAGAGAGGGGCUCGCGUCCCAUUAGAUAGAUGGCGGGGUAACGGCCCACCAUGUCAACGAUGGGUAGCCGAGCUGAGAGGCUGAUCGGCCACACUGGAACUGAGACACGGUCCAGACUCCUACGGGAGGCAGCAGUGGGGAAUAUUGGGCAAUGGGCGCAAGCCUGACCCAGCAACGCCGCGUGAGGGAAGAAGGCUUUCGGGUUGUAAACCUCUGUCCUUGGUGACGAAACAAAUGACGGUAGCCAAGGAGGAAGCCCCGGCUAACUACGUGCCAGCAGCCGCGGUAAUACGUAGGGGGCGAGCGUUGUCCGGAAUUACUGGGCGUAAAGGGUGCGUACGUGGCCUUUUAAGUUGGAUGUGAAAUACCCGGGCUUAACUUGGGGGGUGCAUCUAAUACUGGGGGGCUAGAGUGCAGGAGAGGAAAGCGGAAUUCCUAGUGUAGCGGUGAAAUGCGUAGAUAUUAGGAGGAACACCAGUGGCGAAAGCGGCUUUCUGGACUGUAACUGACACUGAGGCACGAAAGCGUGGGGAGCAAACAGGAUUAGAUACCCUGGUAGUCCACGCGGUAAACGAUGAAUACUAGGUGUACGGGGUAUCAACUCCCCCUGUGCCGGAGCUACCGCAAUAAGUAUUCCGCCUGGGGAGUACGGCCGCAAGGUUGAAACUCAAAGGAAUUGACGGGGGCCCGCACAAGCAGCGGAGCAUGUGGUUUAAUUCGAAGCAACGCGAAGAACCUUAACAAGGCUUGACAUCCACUUAGACGCAUGGAACCAUGCGGUCUCUUCGGAGGAAGUGAGACGGGUGGUGCAUGGUUG